UACGUAGGGGGCAAGCGUUGUCCGGAUUUAUUGGGCGUAAAGAGCGUGUAGGCGGCUAAAUAGGUCCGUUGUGAAAACUCGAGGCUCAACCCUCGAGAUGCCGAUGGAAACCAUUUGGCUAGAGUCCGGAAGAGGAGAGUGGAAUUCCCGGUGUAGCGGUGAAAUGCGCAGAUAUCGGGAAGAACACCCGUGGCUAAGGCGGCUCUCUAGUACGGUACUGACGCUGAGACGCGAAAAGCGUGGGUAGCAAACGAGG
rnacentral:rRNA from 1 species